UACAGAGGGGGCAAGCGUUGUUCGGAAUUACUGGGCGUAAAGGGCGCGUAGGCGGCCGCCUAAGUCAGACGUGAAAUCCCCGGGCUCAACCUGGGAACUGCCUUUGUGACUGCAAGGCUUGAGUGCGGCAGAGGGGGAUGGAAUUCCGCGUGUAGCAGUGAAAUGCGUAGAUAUGCGGAGGAACACCGAUGGCGAAGGCAAUCCCCUGGGCCUGCACUGACGCUCAUGCACGAAAGCGUGGGGAGCAAACAGG
rnacentral:rRNA from 1 species